UUAGCCUACGGGGGGCAGCAGUGAGGAAUAUUGGUCAAUGGCCGAGAGGCUGAACCAGCCAAGUCGCGUGAGGGAAGACGGCCCUACGGGUUGUAAACCUCUUUUGUCGGGGAGCAAAGCGAGUCACGUGUGACUCAUUGAGAGUACCCGAAGAAAAAGCAUCGGCUAACUCCGUGCCAGCAGCCGCGGUAAUACGGAGGAUGCGAGCGUUAUCCGGAUUUACUGGGUGUAAAGGGAGCGUAGACGGCAGGGCAAGUCUGGAGUGAAAGCCCGGGGCCCAACCCCGGGACG
rnacentral:rRNA from 1 species